rnacentral:rRNA from 1 species
CAUCACUACGCUAGAUGCAUAUCAAUAAGCGGAGGAAAAGAAACUAACAAGGAUUCCCCUAGUAACGGCGAGUGAAGCGGGAAGAGCUCAAAUUUGAAAUCUUCAAGGUUUGACCUUGACGAAUUGUAGUUUAAAGAAGUGUUUUCGGUUAGAGGAGUAGUAAAAGUUCUUUGGAAUAGGACAUCAUAGAGGGUGAGAAUCCCGUAUUUGGUCAUUCCUCCUAGCGUUGUGAUACACUUUCAACGAGUCGGAUUGUUUGGGAAUGCAGUCCAAAAUGGGUGGUAAAUUUCAUCUAAAGCUAAAUAUUGGCGAGAGACCGAUAGCGAACAAGUACCGUGAGGGAAAGAUGAAAAGAACUUUGAAAAGAGAGUUAAACAGUACGUGAAAUUGUCAAAAGGGAAGCGUUUGACACCAGUGUUGUUUUUCCGAAAAUCGAUUACGAAUGUUUUAUUUUUGAGGAGUUAUGACUUCAUCGGCUUGCUCCUUUCUUUAUGAAACUUUCUUAAUGCACUUUUCGGUUAACAAGUCAACAUCAAUUUCUUUUGUUGUAAAAGGGUAUGAGGAAGGUGGCUUUCUUUUCGGAGAAAGUGUUUAUAGCCUUGUGCCUCUGCAAUCGGAGAGAUUGAGGUCUGCAGCGUAGAUCCUUCGGGGUUAGAUACGUUUGUGCUAAGUUAUAGCUUUUCAUAGACAACUUGUUGACUAUGUUUAGUCUUGUAGCUUACUCGCUGACGCUAUUUUACCUACGCUUAGGAUGUUGACGCGCGUGUGUGCGUG